rnacentral:rRNA from 1 species
AUACGAAGAGGGCUAGCGUUGUUCGGAAUUACUGGGCGUAAAGCGCGCGUAGGCGGAUUGGUCAGUUAGGGGUGAAAUCCCAGGGCUUAACCCUGGAACUGCCUCUAAUACUGCCAGUCUUGAGUUCGGGAGAGGUGAGUGGAAUUCCUAGUGUAGAGGUGAAAUUCGUAGAUAUUAGGAAGAACACCAGUGGCGAAGGCGGCUCACUGGCCCGAUACUGACGCUGAGGCGCGAAAGCGUGGGGAGCAAACAGGAUUAGAUACCCUAGUAGUCC